rnacentral:misc_RNA from 1 species
UGCUGAUGUGCAAAUUGAAAUUUUUAUACAUUUCUUACAUAAUUUAUGGGAAUUUGGAAGUUAGAAUGAGCAUAUAUAUUUAGUUAAUGCAAUUGAGGAUUGUGAUGAAAGAAUGUUAUAAUUAAUUAAUAGAAUUUCUUUCAGGUGAUUUAAAAUAGAUAGUGUUAGAAUUUUAUUUGAAUAUAAUAGAUGUGAAAUGAGUUUGUUUAAUUUCUUGUAAAUAAA